rnacentral:rRNA from 1 species
GGGGAAUUGUUCGCAAUGGGCGCAAGCCUGACGACGCAACGCCGCGUGGAGGAUGAAGGUCUUCGGAUUGUAAACUCCUGUUGCCCGGGACGAAUGGCUCCAACCUAAUACGUUGGAGUGUGACGGUACCGGGUGAGGAAGCCCCGGCUAACUCUGUGCAAGCAGCCGCGGUAAUACAGAGGGGGCAAGCGUUAUUCGGAAUUAUUGGGCGUAAAGGGCGCGUAGGCGGCUUUUCAAGUGGCGGGUGAAAUCCCUCGGCUUAACCGAGGAACUGCCUGCCAGACUGGAUUGCUUGAGUCCGGGAGAGGUGAGUGGAAUUCCCAGUGUAGCGGUGAAAUGCGUAGAUAUUGGGAGGAACACCAGUGGCGAAGGCGGCUCACUGGACCGGAACUGACGCUGAGGCGCGAAAGCGUGGGGAGCAAA